GAUCCUCAUGAUCUUUGCACGAUUUGUGUGUGUGUUUUAAUGGGUUUUGUCUCAAUGACCCCUUUACUUCCUCGAGGCAGUUAGGGUAAUGGUGCUGUCAAAGUCGUUGUAAUCUCUCUACAACAGUGCGUCGCUUAGGGGCGGGGGGUUGAACGUUGAAGAAUGGUAUUUUUAGUUUCUUUAUUUUUCCUUUUCUUACACUUUUUAAGAGAAAAAACUGAUGAAACGAAUGCGACGAUAGACAACCAUAAUGGCUCGGUGCCACUUGCCUUUGUCUUUAGCUUUUGAUUAUUUCUUGGACGCAAUGGUCAUUUCCAGGAAAUUAGAUUUUGGAUUUAUUAUGCAGAUCAGGACUUUUUCUUGUGUACUUCAAAGACCGAUCUUCGUGAUCUUUGCACGUUCUUCGCACAGAACUUUUGCUAGUUUGCCUUUGUAUUUUGUUUUUGAUUAUUUCUUGGACGCAAUGGUCAUUUCGGGGAGAUAAGAUUUUGGCCUUGUUCUGCAGGUCAUAACAUUUUCUUGUAUACUUUAAAGCACCAUCCUCGGGAUCUUUACAUGCAUGGAACUUUCGUGAGGAGUGCCACUUGCAUUUUUCGCCCGUUACAACUCUGCCACUUGCAUUCGCACACUUUAUUUUCACUGGUCCAUGAAUACAUAUUCAUGAACAAAAUUGGGUACCUGUUUAACAGUGAGAGGGGCUUGUUUUCUGAGAAGUUGAAGAACGGCUUGACCUCUUUCUUUGUCUUUGUGUUAGUUGAUCUGAUCUUUUUUCCCAUUUCUCAAUAAGACAAAGACUAAUUCUGGUUACUGUUUUCUUGUAACUAUUGGUAUCAAAAUCUUAAUAGUCAAAAGUUUGAGACAGAUUAUAAACAAAAAUUAAUUACAUAAAUUUUGAAAAACAAUAUAAUAUAUAAUUCAAUCAAAAAUCAGAUUAUCAAAAUCUUAAUAGUCAAAAGUUUGAGACAGAUUAUAAACAGUUACAUAAAUUUUGAAAGACUAAUUCUUGUUACUGUUUUCUUGUAACUAUUGGUUGGUCAACUGGAAUAGAGAAAAGAUGAAUCUAUCAAGAAACAAGAGAAUAUAGAGACAGAGAUACUGCUUUUCUUCUUUACGCAACCAUUUGAAAAACAGUGUGACAAUAAGAUGGAGAAAGCAAUUUCUAGUGUUAAAUAAGUAGAGUGAAAUAUUAAAGAGAAAAAGAGAGCCCGUAUCUAUAGGCGUGAUGAAAGCCGUUAAAUGAAGGCUACCAAAGGUCAACAGUGCCAAUGACGGCUUGAAAGCAAGGCCUUAUUUGAGGAGCUGUAGCAAAUUUUGCAUCCUUUCAGUGUCCAAUUUCAAGGUAAGAAAGAAUGAAAGGCAAAUUGAUAUAAAUGACCAUUUGAUGAGAAUCUUCCAAAGAUUACCCCUGACUUAAAUAGACGGGUAGUGGAACAAAAAUGACUCAGUUCAAUGCAUUAACCAUUAUUUACGUCUCCCUUAGUAAUUCAAGAUCCUGAAAAUUACACAAAAAUGGUUUUACAAGAAUACAGGUGGACGUGCAGGGCAGCGUGCAUUGGUCGUGCGCCACGGGGGCCUGCCCUGUGCGUUCCCUUGAUCUCCUAAUGUUUAGCUAGUAAAUUGAAAACUAUAGGCACUUUGCCUUCAUGUUGGUUAUCAUUUUCGUAGGAAAAACAUUGCAUGGUAAAAUCAGAGUUUUGGGAAUUAUACCUUUGGAUUUAGUUUUUGAUUAUUUCUUGGAUGCAAUGGUCAUUUCACAGGAGAUUAGGUUUUGGCUGUAUUCUGCAGAUCAGGACGUUUUUUUGUUUACUUCAAAGCACGAUCCUUGUGAUCUUUGCAUGCACGGAACUUUCGUGAGGAGUGCCACUUUCCUUUUCAUCCCUUACAACUCUGCCACUUGCAUUAGCAUACUUCAUUUUCACUGGUCUAUAAAUACAUAUUCAUGAACAAAAAUUGGGUACUGUUACAAUGUACAUAGACACAUUUUCGUAGAUAGCACAAUCAUAGAUAGAGAUAUUUAGAGAUUUGCUUAUUUUGUUUCCUUAGAUAGAUUUGCUUGUACACAUAUAAAUAACUCUCAGUCUUGGAAUAAUAUGUGAACUGAGAUUGCUCCAUUGUCUCUGUAUUUUUACAUGAUAUCAGAGCUGCUAGGGUUCAAAAUCGUUGUUCAGAACCUUUUGGCACCCUGAGAGGAGGUCUCGGCUAUUUGGGUCACCCUAAGGAGUGACCAGUUUAUCUCACCAGCACCAUAAGAAGAGACAAAAGGAGAUUUCCAGCAAGAGCCAUCUCCAGUUUCACUCGCCGAUGAUUUUGGCUUGCUGCUCCGGUAUCGCCUCAUCAUUCACGACAUGUUCUGGUACUAAAAUUCUGUUUGGAAGCAUCUUCCUUCGUUUCCAUCGAAAGACUGGUAUUAGUGCCAGCACAUGUUGAUCGAACAGCUGGUAGUGUGCCAGAUGUUUUGUCUGGACGAAACAUUUUAACACCGGGUGCCAAAAUCCCUUUUGAAUUAGCUUUCCCUUUGGUUAAAUGCAUCGCCUUCUUCCUUUCUUCCGUUUCUGUUUUCUCACGAUCAUGGAGGAACUAUGAAGAAUCACCAUUGUUUUCAACACCGUGAUGUUCUCCAUUUUCAACAAUUAAUAGGUGGAUCCUUGAACAGUAAUUCCAACUAGUGAAGAUAUGGUAUAUGCAACAGGUAUUGUGUUAUUCUGCAGAUCAGGACGCAUGAUACUAGUGAUUUUUGCCUGCACCGAACUUUGGUGAGGAGUGCCACUUGCCUUUUCAUGCGUUACAACUCUGCCACUUGCAUCAGCAUUUCUUCCAGAUACAUGCACACUUCACUUUCACUGUUGUAUCAAUAUCGUUCGUUCAGGUGCUGGAUCCAAGCAACACUUGUUACUCCAACCAGUAUAUUUCCUUCAGUUAUAUCAUUGCCUUCCGUCUGUCCCUGAACAUCCAUAGUCUGACCUUUCUCUUCUUCACCAGAGACUCGCUCCAAAGAAUCAGUGACUUCUCUGGUACCAGUGCUUGUGAGGAAAUUGAGUGCAUUGAUUGUCCAGAAAGUUAUGCAGAAAUAAAGGGGUUUCUGGAGAAGAAAGAAGUUCUUCAAGGUUCGAAAAGAUAUUUUGCAGAAAUAGAAGGCUUUCAAUAUUGUCUUAUUUAAUAACCUCGAGCUUGAUGCCUUGGAUUUAUCAGAAAACUUGGUGCGUGCAAGAUCAGGACGUCUUUUUGUAUUACUUCAAAGCACGAUCCUCAUGUUCUUUGCACGGAAAUUCCGUGAGGAGUGCCACUUGUGUUUUCAUCCGUUACAACUCUGCUACUUGCAUCAACGUUUCUAUAAAUAUCGUUUAGGUGCUGGAUAUGCUGGAUCCAAGCGACACUUAUUAUUCCUUAAGUAACUAACCGUUUCCAGUUAUUCCGCUGCCUUCCCUCUUCCCUGAACAUCUGUAGUCUAACCUAUCUCUUUUUCACCAGAGACUCGUUCCAAAGAACAGGGGCUUCAUCAGAUGAAAUAAUUCCAACUAGUGAAGAAAUGGUACGUGCAACCGUACAUAAAGUGAACUAUGUUUUUGUUCCAAGGAUGUCUGUUAUGAAGUUGAUCAAAUUUAACUGGAUCUUGCACAGUGGGAUGUGGGGAACUUUCAACAAGUUGCACAGCGGCUUCAGAGCAUAUCAGACGGCGAAGAAUUCAGAGGCAGCGGAUUCGAGAUGUGCAAUGAUGGCACGAAGCACGAAAAAAAUAUCAUCUGAUGAAGGUGCUGGUACUUUGGAGCGAGUCUCUGGUGAAGAAGAUAAACGUGUGACUAUCGAUUUCUAUGUCAGAAAGGAGGUGGUGGCAUCAACAACUGGAGAUGGAUAGUUAAUCGGCAGAACUGGGGCUGUAGUUUGCAGCCACCGUUCGGGAGUCAUAGGAAAAGUCUUGUUGACCAAAGAUUUGGUCGGAGAGGCAGAAAUGUAUUAGAUCUGGUCUGGUCGAUCCAAUCACGUGACAUUCACUUUUUGGAAGGUGAAAAAGUGAAGAGUCGGACCAGAAUUUGAUGCACGAUUAGUGUUCCUACCAGAUUACCAGAAUUUGGUGCAUGAGAAGUGUUCCUACUGUUCUUAAUAGUGUGAAUUCUCGUGUUCUUAAUUUGUGAAGUCAUGGUUUCAUAUAGAGAUGCCACGAACCCAUGCAAUAAACCUUCCAAAACAUAUCGAGAUUCUACUGAUUCAGAAUUGAGAAUAGCUACAGGGAUGUUAUGGCACGAGUACUACAAAAUAUCAUCUGAUGAAGGUACUUUGGAGCGAGUUUCUGGUGAAGAAGAUAAAUGUGAGAAUGUCGAUAUCCAAAGUCAGAGAGGAGCAAUAGCAUCAACUGGAAACGGGUGGUUACCGGAGGAACUGUGGCUAUCUAUUUGUAAGGGUCAUGCUAAACUUCUAUGUAUAGUUCUGAUUUUAGCGGAUGUGAAAGGACAGGAAUAGAACCUAAUUAAUUUAAUAGAUCAUUUUGACAAGCAAUAAAGAGAUCGAAUUGUUUACUGCUCUUGACGGGAAAAUUUCCAUGUAUAGACUGUAUCUUAUGUUGCUGUCAACAUUUUAAUAUGAAAAUUAACAUUGUUGGAAUUGCUAAU